UGCAGUCGAGCGGACCUUUCGGGGUCAGCGGCGGACGGGUGAGUAACGCGUGGGAACGUGCCUUCCGGUUCGGAAUAACCCUGGGAAACUAGGGCUAAUACCGGAUACGCCCUUAUGGGGAAAGGUUUACUGCCGGAAGAUCGGCCCGCGUCUGAUUAGCUAGUUGGUGGGGUAACGGCCUACCAAGGCGACGAUCAGUAGCUGGUCUGAGAGGAUGAUCAGCCACACUGGGACUGAGACACGGCCCAGACUCCUACGGGAGGCAGCAGUGGGGAAUAUUGGACAAUGGGCGCAAGCCUGAUCCAGCCAUGCCGCGUGAGUGAUGAAGGCCUUAGGGUUGUAAAGCUCUUUUAUCCGG
rnacentral:rRNA from 1 species